CACGUAGGGCGCAAGCGUUGUCCGGAAUUAUUGGGCGUAAAGAGCUCGUAGGCGGUCUGUUGCGUCCGCUGUGAAAACUCAGGGCUUAACCCUGAGCUUGCAGUGGGUACGGGCAGACUAGAGUGCGGUAGGGGAGACUGGAAUUCCUGGUGUAGCGGUGAAAUGCGUAGAUAUCUGGAGGAACACCGGUGGCGAAGGCGGCGUCCUGGACCAACACUGACACUGAGGAGCGAAAGCCAGGGGAGCAAACGGG
rnacentral:rRNA from 1 species